rnacentral:ncRNA from 1 species
UAUCUGGUUGAUCCGGCCAGUAGUCAUAUGCUUGUCUAAAAAAUUAGUCCAUGCAUGUUUGAGUAUAAACUAAAUACUGUGAAACUGACGAUUACUCAUUAAAUCAGACUACUUUUAUAUAUAUACAUACAUAAAUUAAUUCAAAACAAAAUCAAUUUUCAAGAAGAAUGAAAACAAAAACAAAAAUAAAUUUAAAAAUGUAUAUGGUUGAGAUUAUUACAGUGGAUUGUAUAUAUGGUUGAGAUUAUUCCAGCGGAUUGUAUAAUUUUAAAACUGCUUCGUA